rfam:Oryza barthii chromosome 7, whole genome shotgun sequence.
AAAGACCGAAUUCCUGGGUUUCCAUGUCCAACAUUUGACUGUCCGUCUUAUAUGUAAUUUUUUUAUGAUUAGUAUUUUUAUUAUUGUUUGAUGAUAAAACAUGAACAAUACUUUAUGCGUGACUUAUCUUUUUAAAAUUUUUUAUAUUUUUUUUCAAAUAAGACGGACGGUCAAACGUUGGACACGAAAACCCAAGAAUUGAGUUAUU